rnacentral:misc_RNA from 1 species
GAUGAAGAACGUAGCGAAAUGCGAUAAGUAAUGUGAAUUGCAGAAUUCAGUGAAUCAUCGAAUUUUUGAACGCACAUUGCGCCCGCUAGUAUUCUGGCGGGCAUGCCUGUCCGAGCGUCAUUUCAACCCUCAAGCGCCCGGGCUUGGUGUUGGGGAUCGGCGAGCCUCCGCGCCCGCCGUCCCCUAAAUCUAGUGGCGGUCUCGCUGUAGCUUCCUCUGCGUAGUAGCACACCUUGCACUGGGAAACAGCGCGGCCACGCCGUUAAACCCCCAACUUCUGAACGUUUGACCUCGGAUCAGGUAGGAAUACCCGCUGAACUUAAGCAUAUCAAUAAGCGGAGGA